rnacentral:snRNA from 1 species
AGCCACACAGUGAGCACAAAGCUAACUAGUCUUUCGCCUUUUACUAAAGAAUACCGUGUGCCUAAGUUGCGCGGACUCUUCGAUUUUGGUGCCGUCCCCGUCCCGAUACGAGAC